rnacentral:misc_RNA from 1 species
GCUUUGGUUGCUCAUUGAAUAAAGCGAUAGAUAAUCAGAACAGGGUUUCAAUUUUCUUAAUGUAAAUUUGCUUCUUUUUGCCGCAAUUGCUCAUAAUUGAGUCUUUUGUUCGCAUGAUAAAUGCUGAUUAAGGCUUAAAAUUACUAUAGUAUAUUUGAUCAACUGAGAAAUAGAGCAGGGUUUUGUACUGAUGAUAUUAAUUAGUGAUAGAAUUGAGCAAACAAACAAUAAUUCUUUGUGUUAUUUUUCAAGAUUUGUUUCCAAUUCGUCUGAAU